rnacentral:rRNA from 1 species
AUUGAACGCUGGCGGCAGGCCUAACACAUGCAAGUCGAGCGGAGCGGCGGACGGGUGAGUAAUGCCUAGGAAUCUGCCUGGUAGUGGGGGAUAACGUCCGGAAACGGGCGCUAAUACCGCAUACUAUCAGAUGAGCCUAGGGCGGAUUAGCUAGUUGGUGGGGUAAAGGCCUACCAAGGCGACGAUCCGUAACUGGUCUGAGAGGAUGAGCAGUCACACUGGAACUGAGACACGGUCCAAACUCCGCCGGUGGUAAGCAGUGGGGAAGUUUGGACAAUGGGCGAAAGCCUGCUCCAGCCAUGCCGCGUGUGUGAAGAAGGUCUUCGGAUUGUAAAGCACUUUAAUUUUGGAGGCGUUACCAACAGAAUAAGCACCGGCUAACUUCGUGCCAGCCGCCGCGGUAAUUC